rnacentral:rRNA from 1 species
GAUGAACGCUGACAGAAUGCUUAACACAUGCAAGUCAACUUGAAUUUGGGUUUUUUAACUUAGAUUUGGGUGGCGGACGGGUGAGUAACGCGUAAAGAACUUGCCUCACAGCUAGGGACAACAUUUGGAAACGAAUGCUAAUACCUGAUAUUAUGAUUAUAAGGCAUCUUAGAAUUAUGAAAGCUAUAUGCGCUGUGAGAGAGCUUUGCGUCCCAUUAGCUAGUUGGAGAGGUAACGGCUCACCAAGGCGAUGAUGGGUAGCCGGCCUGAGAGGGUGAACGGCCACAAGGGGACUGAGACACGGCCCUUACUCCUACGGGAGGCAGCAGUGGGGAAUAUUGGACAAUGGACCGAGAGUCUGAUCCAGCAAUUCUGUGUGCACGAUGACGUUUUUCGGAAUGUAAAGUGCUUUCAGUUGGGAAGAAAAAAAUGACGGUACCAACAGAAGAAGUGACGGCUAAAUACGUG